rnacentral:rRNA from 1 species
UACGAAGGGGGCUAGCGUUGUUCGGAUUUACUGGGCGUAAAGCGCACGUAGGCGGAUCGUUAAGUCGGGGGUGAAAUCCUGGAGCUCAACUCCAGAACUGCCUUCGAUACUGGCGAUCUAGAGUCCGGAAGAGGUGAGUGGAACUCCUAGUGUAGAGGUGGAAUUCGUAGAUAUUAGGAAGAACACCAGUGGCGAAGGCGGCUCACUGGUCCGGUACUGACGCUGAGGUGUGAAAGCGUGGGGAGCAAACAGG